UCCACCCAUGGAGGGAGUAAGAUCCGUACUUUUAAGGGGGCAGAGAGUCCACUGUCCCCGUUAGUACAGUCCACUGAGCCCAACGGGUCAUCUCUUGUGAAAACUGGCCCAGAACCUGUGCAAGAAUUGAAGACCACUUCAAAGGAAAAACAAAAACAAAGCGAAACUACUGCCCUGUGCUCACCCACUCUGAACAUCCAGAUACGGAGUCACAUGGUGGGAAGGUGUUGGGAGCAGCCUGGAGCAGCAUUCCUGAUCUCCUGGGAACUGACUCCCCCACCAGCACCCUGCACCAGGAUGUGGUUUUCUGACUGGGUAACCAACACACAAAAUCUAAAGAAGGGGCUCGCUUCUGGGACCAGAACCUCCACUCUGCCUGGUACAAAACAGGAGCAGAUCUUGGUCUCCAGAUUCCAGGCUCCAGUGAGGAAGGACACACUUGGUUUUGCAGAUGAAAGGCCCUGGGAUCUCUUCUGCUUUCAGCAAGGCCUUGUGUUCAAGGCUCCCCCUUACCCUCCUGGGGGUGGGCAAGGGGCUCACCCCACCUCACCUGCACAGCGAGGUGCUUGCUGGCCACAGACUGUGUGUCUGGUCCUCAUGAAAUGUCUUAUCCUGCCCUGUACCUGUGUAUCAGCCUCUCAUGUGCUGGGGGUAACGCAGUGAGUGGGCCCCGAUACUGCUUUUUCCUUCUGUGCUUUAAUCUGGUCACCACUGCUGAUGACCACCGGCCUUACCACUGCCUCUGGUCCCCAAGACCCCACGGCCAGCAGCCUUGGUCUCUCUGUUCAGACCCCAGAUCUCCUUGGUCCUCUCAGCUCUGCUGUGGCAUGGAGCCCUUGGGGGCUUCUCUUGUUCCAUGGGGCAUGGGGCAAGAGGAGUGAGAAGAGCCCAGACUCAGCCUCAGAGCUUGGGUCUGCAUUCUGGUUCCGCAGAGCCGGAUGACCUUGAAUGUCUUUGGGUUUUCAUCUUUGUUUCAGUUGGUCAACGGUAAAAUGGGGGAUGAUCAGGUUAUGGCUGUUGUCAGGUAUAAACAGGCUAAUAUGAUGCAUGCAAAAUGCUUUUAAAAGUGCAGGCUACGUACACCGGGUACAGUUUUGGUUUAUAAGACAAUCCUAGAAACUGCCCUUGGCUCCUUGCUCUCAAUGUCUUUCAGCCAACAGAACCCCCCCACACUUUUCUGAGAGGUUCCCCAGACGAGGCUGUAGGAAGUAAGGACUGAGCGCUAUGAUUUAGGCUUCCCUCAACCAAAUGGGACCCUUUUUUAGAAUUUAACAUCUGAUCAAAAAUAGUUUGUAUUCAACUGAACAUUUUCACAUGCCUUGUUUUAUUGAACCCUCAAGGUAACAUUGUGAAGUUUGAAUUAUUAACCCCGUAUUCUACACGAGGCUAAGAGAGGUUGUGACUUGAUCUCACACGUAAUCAGUGGCCCAAUUCAGGCUUUUUUAGAAAAAAGAUUUUUGCUUCCAGCCAUCAGAGUGCUGUUCAGUACACCUCAGCUGUCUUUAAGAAAAUCUUUGCAUAAACCUACAGGUCAGAAUAUCAGGCAGAUGAACUGGCAAAAUCGAAACAUAAGAAUAACCUGUUUUAUAAAAUUCUUGCUUCUUUGUUUUUCCGCAUCGCUUUUCAUGUCAUUACUUACCCUUGUCCCCAGUCCUUGCAAUGUCAGGAGUGAAAGUGGAGUAAGAGGUGUAACUUUGAAUUGUUUUAGUACUUUUGUGUUUUCUCUGAAACAUCGUUUAAGUAAGGCUCAUUUUUUAGACUUCGUGGAGGAACUCCCUCUUCCCUUUUUAUUUAAACGUAAAAUUGCAAAAUAAAGUCACUAAAUCAGCUUACUGAUUAUUCAUCGGAGACCUGUGGCAUGUGAUAUCAAUUAUUCGUCUAACUAUAAGAGAAUGGGCUACACAAAAAAUAAAAUACCUUAGCUUUCAUACCACCCGUUCCUUUUCAAAUGACAAUGUUUACAAUUAAACCACAUUGACAUUAAAAUGUGAACGGACUGCUUGCUGCUCAGAGCUACCAUUGGCACAAAGUGUACGUGUGCAGCGUCCUGGCCACAGAUGGGGACGGCCAACAUGGCCACAUUUGUUCUCUUUUCUUGUCGCCACCACUCCCGUCAAAACCCCAGGAUAUUUCAGGAAUUACGAUCCUUUCUCUUUUUCUUCAAAGAUCACGUACGUUAGUAUGUAGUAUCUUCCAAUGGCAUAGCUGAUUGUUCAAAGUCGUUUCUAGGAGAACACAUUAAAUUUGUAACACACUUUUGGAGGUCAAGCCCUGCCUUGUCUUGCGUGAGAAUUUUUGGGGGGCUCAGUUUCUCAAGACCAGUAUCUGAGUUUUGUUUCAUACGAGAAGGCUGCUCGUCCUUUGGAGAAUAGGGCCUUGGCCGGGACUGUGUAGCUGGCGUUAGAGAGCCUCAGUGGAACCGUCUGUGGGGCGAGACCCUGGAGCAUCCCCCUUGCUGUGCCCGCAGCCAGGGCCCUGUGUACCUGCUGUUCACACGUUGCACUAACCUGUUGGCUUCUACGAGUGGUGGAUCCCGCUGCCGUCCUCUGUGGUAUCUAGGUCCACACUGCAAUCACACAGGCCGAGAUCUGGCCAAAGGGCUUCCAUUUUCUCUAAAGCUCCCAUUAAAUCAUGUCAAGUGAUUUCAAA